CUUUACUGCUGUACAGGCAGCUUAGAAA
rnacentral:other from 1 species